rnacentral:rRNA from 1 species
UACGAAGGGGGCUAGCGUUGUUCGGAAUUACUGGGCGUAAAGCGCGCGCAGGCGGUCUUCCAAGUCAGUGGUGAAAGCCCGGAGCUCAACUCCGGAAUUGCCAUUGAAACUGUUGAACUUGAGGACGAGAGAGGUGAGUGGAAUUCCCAGUGUAGAGGUGAAAUUCGUAGAUAUUGGGAAGAACACCGGUGGCGAAGGCGGCUCACUGGCUCGUAUCUGACGCUCAGGCGCGAUAGCGUGGGGAUCAAACAGG